rnacentral:pre_miRNA from 1 species
ACAACAAUAUCUUUAAAAUCUUUUUAAAUUGCAGAUUAUGAUUUAAUAGUUCUGUAGAGUGGCUGAAAUUCUGUAUUUCUAACAAGUUCCAAGGGGAUGAUGAU